rnacentral:rRNA from 1 species
UACGAAGGGGGCGAGCGUUGUUCGGAAUUACUGGGCGUAAAGGGCGCGCAGGCGGCUCUGAAAGUCAGAUGUGAAAGCCCCGGGCUUAACCUGGGAAUUGCAUUUGAUACUCUGGAGCUUGAGUACGGGAGAGGAGAGUGGAAUUCCCAGUGUAGAGGUGAAAUUCGUAGAUAUUGGGAAGAACACCGGUGGCGAAGGCGGCUCUCUGGACCGUAACUGACGCUGAUGCACGAAAGCUAGGGGAGCAAACAGG